rnacentral:antisense_RNA from 1 species
AAUAUCAACAAUAAAACAUUAUAUAAUUGUAUAACAAUUACUUCCCCCUCCUGGGCCCAGGUAUCAUAUACACCUCCAAAAUAAAGGGACUUGAACACUAGAAGAAAAGCACCUAGACCUAACAAGUUUAAGUGAAUACCUAAAAUUGUGGUGAUUUUAUUUCUAUCUUUCCA